UACAGAGGUCUCAAGCGUUGUUCGGAUUCAUUGGGCGUAAAGAGCGUGUAGGCGGCUGGGUAGGUCCGUUGUGAAAACUCGAGGCUCAACCUCGAGACGCCGAUGGAAACCAUCCAGCUAGAGUCCGGAAGAGGAGAGUGGAAUUCCUGGUGUAGCGGUGAAAUGCGCAGAUAUCAGGAAGAACACCCGUGGCGAAGGCGGCUCUCUGGAACGCAACUGACGCUGAGACGCGAAAGCGUGGGGAGCAAACAGG
rnacentral:rRNA from 1 species